GACGAACGCUGGCGGCGUGCUUAACACAUGCAAGUCGAACGAGAGGAGAAGGAAGCUUGCUUCUUUCAAAUCUAGUGGCAAACGGGUGAGUAACACGUAAACAACCUGCCUUCAGGAUGGGGACAACAGACGGAAACGACUGCUAAUACCGCAUAACGCGUAGAGAUCGCAUGGUCUUUACGCCAAAGAUUUAUCGCUGAAAGAUGGCCUCGCGUCUGAUUAGAUAGUUGGUGGGGUAACGGCCUACCAAGGCGACGAUCAGUAGCCGACCUGAGAGGGUGACCGGCCACAUUGGGACUGAGACACGGCCCAAACUCCUACGGGAGGCAGCAGUGGGGAAUAUUGCACAAUGGGCGAAAGCCUGAUGCAGCGACGCCGCGUGAGCGAAGAAGUAUUCGGUAUGUAAAGCUCUAUCAGCAGGGAGAAAAAAUGACGGUACCUGACUAAGAAGACACCGGCUAAAUACGUAG
rnacentral:rRNA from 1 species